CAAGGUUAAAACUCAAAUGAAUUGACGGGGGCCCGCACAAGCGGUGGAGCAUGUGGUUUAAUUCGAUGCAACGCGAAGAACCUUACCUACUCUUGACAUCCAGAGAACUUUCCAGAGAUGGAUUGGUGCCUUCGGGAACUCUGAGACAGGUGCUGCAUGGCUGUCGUCAGCUCGUGUUGUGAAAUGUUGGGUUAAGUCCCGCAACGAGCGCAACCCUUAUCCUUUGUUGCCAGCGGUUCGGCCGGGAACUCAAAGGAGACUGCCAGUGAUAAACUGGAGGAAGGUGGGGAUGACGUCAAGUCAUCAUGGCCCUUACGAGUAGGGCUACACACGUGCUACAAUGGCGUAUACAAAGAGAAGCGACCUCGCGAGAGCAAGCGGACCUCAUAAAGUACGUCGUAGUCCGGAUUGGAGUCUGCAACUCGACUCCAUGAAGUCGGAAUCGCUAGUAAUCGUAGAUCAGAAUGCUACGGUGAAUACGUUCCCGGGCCUUGUACACACCGCCCGUCACACCAUGGGAGUGGGUUGCAAAAGAAGUAGGUAGCUUAA
rnacentral:rRNA from 1 species